rnacentral:rRNA from 1 species
GCCCCAUUAGGUGAAGUCAAUGAUCCCAUGCUGCCAAGAAAAGCCUCUAGCGAGCUCCGAGCGGCCCGUACCCCAAACCGACACAGGUGGUCAGGUAGAGAAUACCGAGGCGAUCGGGCGAACUGUGGUUAAGGAACUCGGCAAAUUACCCCCGUAACUUCGGGAGAAGGGGGGCCACAGACUGUCAUACCCCACGCGGGUGGCAGCAGUAGGUGGCCGCAGAGACCAGGGGGAAGCGACUGUUUACUAAAAACACAGGUCCGUGCGAAGUCGUAAGACGAUGUAUACGGACUGACGCCUGCCCGGUGCUGGAACGUUAAGGGGACCGGUUAGUCCGCAAGGGCGAAGCUGAGAACUUAAGCGCCAGUAAACGGCGGUGGUAACUAUAACCAUCCUAAGGUAGCGAAAUUCCUUGUCGGGUAAGUUCCGACCUGCACGAAUGGCGUAACGACUUCCCUACUGUCUCAACCACAGGCCCGGCGAAAUUGCACUACGAGUAAAGAUGCUCGUUACGCGCGGAAGGACGGAAAGACCCCGGGACCUUCACUAUAGCUUGACAUUGGUAUCCGAAUUUAAUUGUGUAGGAUAGGUGGGAGGCUUUGAUCCGCGGACGCCAGUCCGUCGGGGAGCCAACGUUGAAAUACCACUCUGUUGAAUUUGGGUAUCUAACUUCGGACCGUGAUCCGGUUCAGGGACAGUGUCUGGUGGGUAGUUUAACUGGGGCGGUUGCCUCCUAAAAUGUAACGGAGGCGCCCAAAGGUUCCCUCAGCCUGGUUGGCAAUCAGGUGUUGAGUGCAAGUGCACAAGGGAGCUUGACUGUGAGACUGACAGGUCGAGCAGGGACGAAAGUCGGGACUAGUGAUCCGGCACCUGCGAGUGGAAGCGGUGUCGCUCAACGGAUAAAAGGUACCCCGGGGAUAACAGGCUGAUCUUCCCCAAGAGUCCAUAUCGACGGGAUGGUUUGGCACCUCGAUGUCGGCUCGUCGCAUCCUGGGGCUGGAGUAGGUCCCAAGGGUUGGGCUGUUCGCCCAUUAAAGCGGCACGCGAGCUGGGUUUAGAACGUCGUGAGACAGUUCGGUCCCUAUCCUCCGCGCGCGUAGGAGACUUGAGAAGAGCUGUCCCUAGUACGAGAGGACCGGGACGGACGAACCUCUGGUGUGCCAGUUGUCAUGCCAAUGGCACGGCUGGUUAGCUACGUUCGGAAGGGAUAACCGCUGAAAGCAUCUAAGCGGGAAGCUCGCUUCAAGAUGAGGUCUCCCACCCCUUGAGGGUUAAGGCCCCCAGCUAGACCACUGGGUUGAUAGGCCAGAAGUGUAAGCCUGGUAACAGGUUCAGCCGACUGGUACUAAUAGGCCGAGGACUUCAUCAA